CUCAACUAAUCAAGAAGAACCACUAACAAAAAGUGGUAGUAACUAACUCUCAACAAACUUAAGAAAAAGAAGAAGAAACCAUGAACCUUGGCACCAACCCUUGACACCAAGGAAUAGGUUGCCGCCCACCUCUCUCUUAGAUCCAAGAGAGGAUGCCUAGAGAGAGAGGGUAUGAGCUAGAGAGAGGAAGAGAAGGGGAGGUGUUGGGCACAGUAAGGGUGGC
rnacentral:lncRNA from 1 species